rnacentral:rRNA from 1 species
AUUGAACGCUGGCGGCAGGCCUAACACAUGCAAGUCGAACGAGUGGCGGACGGGUGAGUAAUGUCUGGGAAACUGCCCGAUGGAGGGGGAUAACUACUGGAAACGGUAGCUAAUACCGCAUACCAUCGGAUGUGCCCAGAUGGGAUUAGCUAGUAGGUGGGGUAACGGCUCACCUAGGCGACGAUCCCUAGCUGGUCUGAGAGGAUGACGAGCAACACUGGAACUGAGAGACUGUCGAGACUCAUACGGGCGGCAGCAGUGGGGAAUAUUGCACAAUGGGCGCAAGCCUGAUGCAGCCAUGCGGCGUGUAUGAAGAAGGCCUUCGGGUUGUAAAGUACUUUCAUCGAGGAGGCGUUACUCGCAGAAGAAGCACCGGCGAACUCCGUGCCAGCAGCCGCGGUAAUAC